CCAUUUAAACAGGGCUGUGUUUGACACAGCCACAAAGUCUAAGGAGCUCCACAUCGAUCUGAUAUAAACGGGUCAGGAACGUCACUUGGAGCCAUUUCAAAGCGGUUACAGGUCCAAAGAUCAACUGUACAGACAACUCUUUUGUAUUCUGAAGGCUGCAAACUGUCGUCCGGCCUGCGUGAACGGAGGCGUUUUGUAUUUGGGAGCAGAACAGAAUGGCUGAUAACAUGCACGCUCGUCGGCAUCAGCAGAAACAAAAGCGUCCUCCGGGAGGGCGUCGGAUCAAUGAGGACCCAUCCUGCUUUGCUGUUGUAAUAAUCACCAUAGUCCCUAGAGGCUGCCGCUUAACAAGAAAUGUGAAUAAGGGUCUCGGAUCUCUUCUUUGUCCUGGACCUCCAGAAAGUCGUCCACAGCAGUUACAGUGACAUCUACAGUGUCAAAAUGACAACCACUGGUAUUAUUUAUUCUGGGAAAGAAGCUCAAUCAUCCCUCUGCAGUUUCCCUCCUGCACACCUGUCUGUCGUUACCUCAUCAAGCCACACCUGUGCCUCAUUGAGCUUCUGUGUAUAAAUAUCAGCCAGUUCUCAAGCUGGUCUAGAAAACAAGCUGCUCAUCUUGACGUUUGGCAUCCAGAAAAAUACAUUUAAUUUAAGCA